CUGAGUCUAAUGAGCUGGGUUGCCUGCAGGGCCGAAAUGCGACCACGGCCAGCUGAGGACCUGGCCCCCACGUGCACUCAGGGGCUGUGAGGGAGGGACUUGCAGGGAGGAGGCAGUGACCCGAGAUAGGGUCAUCCUGGACCUCAGGGCUCUCCUCCUCCCAGCCACAUCCUGGGGCACUUUAUGUCCCCACACCAUGCAGCACCCGACAUCCCGAGGGGGAAACCUGCAACCGCCAGGCCCCCACCUGCCCCAGCAAGGAAAAGCAGCGACCUUAGGGAAGCGGAGGGCUCUGCUGCUGCUUGCUUCCUCCAAUGCCCCCCCAACCGAAGUCUAUUCCGGAAACAGACUCUUACGCGUUGUUUAGAAGAAAGUAACAAAACAAAGAAACCAAACUUUACUUGCAUUUAGCCAUUAAUAAAUAAUUUACAGUAUGUACAAGUGGUGACACUCUACACGGUCGCAGAUACAUGGACGCGGUGAGGGGUCCCCACUUCCAAGCAGAAUGUGAUCAAACACAACCAAAAUAAAGUGCUUCAACUUUUUACUUCCAACAUAGGGAUCAUCUAAAAAAAAAAAAAAAACCCCAAAACUAAAAAACAGAAAAACAAGCCAGCAGGGAGAGGAAGGGAUGGGCCGAGUGCUCCCCAGCCCUAGCGUGGUUUCGGUGGAGGAGCAGGACCUCUGGGGGAGACGGAGAGACGCAGGUUCCGCAGCCUCCUGGCCAGUGUAUGAGAGGUCCCUGGGGAUAGCAGAGGGGCUGCUGCAGAUGCUGGCGAGCUGGGCCGGGCCGGCGGGACCCUGGCCAGAUGACCUGCCUCGGAGAGGAGACUUUGGGAGGCCUUGCUGCUCCCUGGGGGCCACUGCAGCAGCAGCAUUAGCAGUGGUGGGACAGUGCCGGGCUCCAUGGACCGGAGGGGAGCCAGGGCAACUGAGGCAGAGAUCUGCAGAGCUUCCUCCCCCACCACGCGCGCGCAUGCGCUGGCUAACAACUCGCGGAGCCGAAGGCGCGGCGGCGGCGAGCUGCGACCCUGCAGGGCCCGCCUCCUUUCCCUUACCUUGCUGGUGGCGGUGGCGGCGGAGCCGGGCAGCACGGGCGUGUUGGUGA
rnacentral:lncRNA from 1 species